AUGUGAUUGUGGUGGCAGACGGGAGCCGCAGGACUGAGGCCGGUACUUCAGCCAUUGGUGCCUUUCAAGUUUGGAACCAUCUGUCCUCUCUUUCUUCUGCCAACGGCAGCCAACUCUGUGGUUCUUUUUCAUCCCACAGCUCCAAAUUCCCAAGAGAUGUGUGCAGAGAGCGGUCACACCCUCAUCCCUCACCCACAGGUAGAAACUUGGGGUUUGAGACAAAAUGUCUGAUUUUUUAAAUCUUUUUUUACUUGAGAGCAUUUUGGGGCUCAGCUAGCAUAUGGGCCACAUGGGCUGCAGCCAGAGCAGGGAGUUUGUCAUCGAGACAGUAGGAGAUGUUAGAAUGAGAUGGAGCUGAGAGCCAAGCAGAAGGAGGAAGGGCUUAGGUGACUAAUCUGAAAAGAACAGGAGAAAUGUCAAAACUGGGAGCAGAUGCAGAAAUCUGAGAACCAGGGAGACGAGAGCAGGCAUGGCUGGCACAGAGGAAACGAGGAGGCUCUAGCACAAUCUCCUGGAACAGGGUUUGCAGACUUCUUCCAGGAUCCACGCCGGGCCACAGCAGCAGUGAGGCUGACAAUGAAAGAGCGACAAGACGCCGAGAUGGGCAAGCUGAUAGCAAAGUGGGACCAGCUCUGAAGAGAAACAGAGAACUGUGGGGUGAAGCCAGACAUAGGAGGCAAGCUGGCGGAUACCCAGAGCAAGGAAGUGGCAAGGACUGAAGGACAAUGGAGAGGAGCUUCAUAGGAAACCAUUCUCACCCCUUCAGAGGUCUCCUCAGCUCAGGAUGGGGCCUUAGUCAGUCCUCAGAGGUGCGGGAAGAGCCCAGAACCUUAGCACGGUGGAGCCUGGCUGAGCCUGGUUGGGGCCCUGAACAACUUCCUUCUGGUUGACACCCAAGGCCACAGAUGCCCGACUAUGAUGACUACAGGCAAGACCCAGUGAGGUGUGGAUCCCGAGAACAGUUCCUGAUGAACACCCUGCACACCAAUUCCAUUUUUAGAGCUGCUUCCAGAAGAAUCUGACCUGCAACAGCUCUGUAUGAAAGCAUGGCAUUGCUAAUAAACUGUCUAAUGAAGGAAAAUAAGCUAUCUAACAGGGAAAAAAAAAAGAAGAUCACAGCCCUUUGUUUGAUUAACCACCUGGGGCUUAACUCAUUGUCUUUAAGAUUAACCAUCCAUGGGCUCUCUAAGAGUUUGUUUUCAUAGCACUUGAGAAGGACUGAGCAGAUAGGAGGAGUGGGGCCUCCCAGUUUCUGCCAUAACCACAUUUCAAGGACCCUGAUGAAGCCAGCCUCACAGAGAAGAGAGGGAGAAAAAAAGGAAAAAGAGAAACAGCUGCUUCACAGCUGUCUUCUGCUAUCAGCUUGCAACAGUAACUUUUUUUUACCCUUCACCCCCAAUAAAUACCCCAACCCCUUACCCUCA